GCUGUGGCUCAGUGGUAGGGCAUCAGUUUUGCCUUCAGAAGACCCCAGGUUCGAUCCCCGGCAUCUCCA
rnacentral:tRNA from 1 species